rfam:Rhodococcus sp. WMMA185, complete genome.
CGGUGUUCAGCCCGACCCCCCGGGGCUGAACGCAGACGACCCUCGCCUCCUCCCCCCCUGGCGAGGGUCGUCCUCU